UCGAAUACUUUUUUGGAAACGACACAGUUUGAUCAUAAAAAAGUUAUAAUGCAGGAAACGGAAAGGAAAUGAAAUCAUGAAUUCAAUGUGAAAUCUAUUGAAGCCUAACUUGAACCGAUUAACUGUGCUUCCAAGCCAACAAAAAGUAAAUGAACGCAUUGGAAAUUUUACUUAUAACUGUUGAUAUUGUUGUUGCUCUAUAGUAAAAAUAACUUUACGCUUAGCGCAAGUGCUAUGGGAACGCAACAAUUGGCGCAUUUAACCUUUAACACUCGCCCACGUUGUGUGUUCGGACGUCUAUUUUUUAAUUGAUAUUGUCUUAUUUUUUUUAAUUUGUUUGUCAUUUGUUUAAAGUAAAAAAGUGAUAUUUUAUGUGAGGUAUUUUGCCUGUUGCCCCUGUUUACCUUACUAAACGGUACCAAUUAUUCGCAAAAAAGAACACAAAUUUCUUUCCGUUCGCCAAGAACAACAACAUUUAGUUAUAUUGUGCUUAUUUUGUAUGGACGUCCUUAAAAAUGUGCGCGACGAACAUAAAUUCGUAUACUAUCGAGAUCGAUGUGGCGUCAUAAAUUGUAAUGUUAAUUAAACGUAAGUUGGCACCUUAACUGCGAAUUUUCACGACAAACGGCAAACGCAAACGGCGACAGCAGUCAAUAUAAGACAAUAAUAAGAAGGGAGCACAAGUCAAGUGUAUCACAUACAUACAUAUGUACAUGCAAACCGAGCUAACUGUCUAUGUGAGAAAAACAAAUAACAACAAAAACGUGCGCAUUAAAAAAAAACAACAAAAUUUAAUCGAAUAACGUAAAAUCAAGUGAAGCUCGCAGCAGGAUCUGCAGCGCACAGCAGAGCGGCGGAGUCCACGCGAACAAAUGAUCAAACAUAAUACUUAUGAGCGCGCGAAAAGGUGAAUAUGUAGAGUGAAGAAGCAACUGAUUGCAGUUAGUGGUGAACUGUGAUGAUAUAAAUAAAAGAAAAUAAAGAAUAAAAAGUCAAAAGUGAAGAUAUUUGAAGAUAUUCAAGU